CCAAUAGCGUAUAUUAAAGUUGCUGCAGUUAAAAAGCUCGUAGUUGAAUUUCGGGACCAAUAUGUCGGUCGUGCCUCGGUACGUACUGGCAUCGUUGGUUUCUCCCUUCUGACGAACCAUGAUGUCAUUUAUUUGGUGUCGUGGGGAAUCAGGACUGUUACUUUGAAAAAAUUAGAGUGUUUAAAGCAGGCUCACGCUUGAAUACAUUAGCAUGGAAUAAUGAAAUAGGACGUUUGAUUCUAUUUUGUUGGUUUCUAGGAUCGACGUAAUGAUUAAUAGG
rnacentral:rRNA from 1 species